AUGGCACCAACAAAACUGGGAGCUAGGAGCCCUCUAAUGGAGGCAGCUGUGGGCUUUGCACUGGGAGCUGUGGCAGGCUGCAUACUGGGAGCCACAGAGGACCCAGUGGACGAGACCCUGUCAGUGAUGACUACAGCCGAUUCACUGAAACCAGUGAUGGAGGAAGCCAGGAAAGUUGGUGCUCUGGGGCUGGGGGCCCUUAUUGGAGCCACAGCACUGACCACAGCAAUGACCUCAGUUGUAGCUGGUGUGAUUCUGGCAGCAGCGGUAGCUUCAGUGUUUGUGGCCACUAAGAGCUGCGGUGCCUCCCACAUAAACUCUGUUGGCUUGUGGGCAUCGGCAGGACUUGCUGGGGCCUUCGGGACCACUCUCAGUGGAGCCACACUCGGGGUUGCUAUCGAAUGGAUUGUGAAGAAUUACAGCAUGAUGGGCCUCCUGUAUGCACUGAGCAUAUUCACCGUGCUCAAACCGCCCCUGCACUUUGUAUUUAAGCUCCUCUGGAAGCAGGGAGAGUCCUAUUGCACUCUGGGACCUACAUUCAGGGCCAGGGAGAGGGAACAAAUUGAGAUCAUAGAGUCACAGCAGAGACAGAGAGUGGCUGUGGAGAUAGAGCAGAGGAUCCUGAUGUUGGAGAAGGGAGGCAGCAUCAGCGGGACAGAGCAGAGAACACUGUGGACCACGGAGCAAAGGCAGAGAGUGGAGAUGGAGAGGCAGAAGAUGGAGAGUGAGGAGGCAGAGAUAAAGCAAAGAACCAUCCAAGACUGGAUCAACACCGUGGUGGUCAAAUAUGUGGACUUCUUGGCUUUCUCAGGGAUACCAAUGACAGUAGUUGCCAUAGUAACAUCAGGGUUUGGGGUGUUUGGUUACGGAGGCCACCAGUCUGUGUUUAUAGUACUUCUGGCAUUGGUUGGAGUCAUAGCCUAUUUGCUGCUGAACUCAUCUGACUUUAAGUUCUGGAUGUUGGUCGGGUGCAUGGGAAUGCUCACAACGUUUGUCAUCGCCAUGCUCACACUGCACGCUGGCCAGGUGGUCGUAACAACCGCCAUGAAGAUGAGAGCAGCGGGGCAGGGUCAGUCAAGAGAAAACAUCACUGCUCGUAUGAACCACCAGUCCUCUCUUGAAGCUCUGAAUGCAGCUUUCUUCGUGGCAAAACUAUGUGAGCUGGGUUUGGGGGCUACGGUGGGGGGGCCGCUGGUGAGGCGAGCAGCCGGAGAGGUGAAAGUCAUAGCUGGAGCGGCCCUUGUGGCACUGGGUUUACUGGCUGGGGUAGAGGUUUUCGCCCCGGUGCUGGGAGGAGGAGGUAAAGCUGGGGCACUGCUGGGGGUGGUAGGAGCAGCGGGGGUGUCUGUGGGAGCAGCGGCGGCUGUGGCUGGAAGGUGGUCCUCAUGGCAAGGAACUCUGGGAACAAUAGCAGGGUUGGUUAUAGGAGCACUGGGGGUUGGAAAAUGGCAUAUUGUUAACAUUGGACUGCAGGUGCCUGUGGCCUAUGUCUUCGCUAUGACCAAUCCAUUUUAA
rnacentral:lncRNA from 1 species